UUGCGGAGAGCGGGCGGGGUGGGGUUUCAGAGCAGAGCAUAUGUAUACCAGUAUAAUGUAUAUUGUAUAGAUAGAGCACAAUGCGGUAUCGCCCUGCGACGACGUGGUUCAACGCGCCAGCGUAGUAGUCGCCGAGGUCGCCUAAAAUAACGCAGCUCCCAUCAGCAUCAGCCGAAUCGACUCACAACACCACCAGCCGAGCUAUGGGUCGCCACGUCGCCGUCACCAGCGGAGCUACCUACGCACCUACGGGAUCUCGAACGCAUUACUGGUUUUACCGCAACAGCGACUGUAUUAUUUUGAAUGUAUGCAAAGCGACUUGUUAAAUAAAUGACUCUACAGGACUUUUACUCGAUCAUUUAAGUUUUAUGUUUUUUGCAUGUUGCUAAUUUCCAUUAAUUUUUUUUAUCCAAACCUAAACCCCUAAAGUCCCUUGAGCGGCAUUGUUAACCCACAAACGUGUGGGUGCUAACCCUUAGCCCCGCCCUCCCGUAGUCCUAUCCAAUGGCGUUGAGUACCUUUGCCCUUGACGUUCAACGAAUGAUUUUCGAAAAUCCUCAUUUUACAAAAAAGUGCCAGCCUAGCGCGCGAUUGGCUUAGUUAAUUUUAUAUCCCAACUCAUGUUUUAUUAUGUUGAAUAGUUGCUUUUGACAUUCCUCUGACUUUACCUGCGAGCGAAUUUUUGUUGUAAUUUUUUCUUUAAUUUUCACUCCUUCACCUCUACUAACUUCGACUGACCGACUGACUAACUUUAAUUAUCAUUAACCUUUUCGCUGUUGGUACACUGGAAACAAUAAAGAUUUUUACGAGCUAAA